GUCGGCAAUCUCAGAAACCUCUGGGAAUUGGCUUUGCAUGUAGCAAACAACCUAGUAAGAAAAACUAGCUUUGGAGCCAGCCCUGUGGCUGGAAAAAAAAAUGAAGUUAAAUGAAACUCUCUCUGCAACAUUGGCUAAAACCUUUUGCUGUUUCUUGCUGAGCCCACCUGGCUGAUGCCAUCAGGGAAAGACAAAUCAGAGCAGAUGAAUAAUGUGACUUUCAAGGGAUAAAUAAGGGAAACAGAAAACCUCUUCAAGAGAAGUCAUGAUUUGCAAGUCUGUUCUACGAAUGCUUCACUGACAAGGACUCUGUGGAGGAGGGAAUGGAGGACAGUGUUUUGAGAAACUGUGACCUCUGGACAAGCCUCACUUUAAACAGUAAGUGUCAUUUAAAAGUUGGCUGCAAGUCAGGUUUUUGUAAAUUGAACCCUGCUUCAAGUGCCCAGUGGAAACUUGCUCCAUAAAAUAAUUAUGUGGUAAAAGUUUUAUGGAGGAUCGUUUUUAUUCGAAGUCACCCCCUAAAUCAUCUAACUUGUAAAUGAUGUGUUCUUUAACUACAAAAUGAAGAACCCGAGAAGCUUCAGGGACCUCAAAGAUCUUGGAUUCGAUCCUUGCAUAUUACAGAUGGAGAAACUGAUGUGUGGAGAGACCACACAGAGGCCACCAUCCUGCAUGGGGCGAGACCCAAUGGCAGAAACUUGGUUAAAAUGACUGAUGGAAUUGAUCGGGCUAAGUUACUACGUUUCACUUUCAAAUGUUUCAAAUCAUGAAGACUGCUUGACUAGCUGUUGGCUUUGUGCUAUGAAGGCACAGCCAAGGAAGGGGUGAGCUGGCUUUUUCUUUUGACUUGGUAAAGCCAGGAAGGCAGAUGAAUGAGGGGAAGAAGUCAUACACACACUGUUCACUUUGCAGCUGUAUUUAUCUUGCGGUUCAGUUUGUCAGCUCAAGGGGGAGAAAGACCAUUGGGGAAGGGAGGUGUGGGGAGGAGAAACUCUAAGGGCAAAUUACAAUGCGCAUUCUGAAAAGACAGUAACGUUUUCUUUUUCUAUGGCAUUUAAAACCCAGACUUGAAUUCUUUAUUCAAUUAAAAACACCCACUAAGGUCAGGCAAAAUUUAACCAUGUAAUGCAGGAUGCUGGCGACCUUUUGGGGAGGAGAAACCACUUCCUGGCCCCGGAACUGGAUCUGAGGAGGGACCUGGGGAGAUGAAGGCAGGUUGCUACACUGAAGUCUUGAGAGCCUGAAGAGGAGGCCCUAUUGCCGAUAAUGCUUCCCAUCCUACCCCUCCAGGAAGCCCCACGGAGUGCAGAGAUGGAAGCAGGAGGUGGAAGCUUAGGGGUUUCCACCAUCUUGGAGGCCUUCAGAUAAGGUGUGGCCACCCACCUGUGGAUCAGAAUGGGGACCCUGGGGAGAGGGGCUUGGAAAGGAUUAAAGCAGAGUUGGAAGGAGGCCCAGGGAAGCCAGGAUGCCCAGCUGAGGCCGGCUCAAUGCCCAGUCUGAGCUGUAGAGGACUAGCUGAGCUCUGCAGUUUGCAGCCAUGUGACCAUGGGCCAAUUUAACCUUCCUAAGUCACAAUUUUCUCCUCUGUAAAAUGAGGAUAAUAGUAGUAUGUAUCACAUAGAGUCAUUAAAAAUUAAACAUGAUAAUGUAUCUAAAAGUGCUUCUUGUACAGUCUGAUACGUGUGAAAGAUCCAUCAUCAUCAGCAGCAUCAUCACCAUCAUUCUCAUCAUGGUUGCAACAGGACUUGAAUUCUGAACAUGUGACUCCUGGGACCUGGGAAGCAAAGCUCUCAAAUGAAAAUGGGGUUAGCUGAAGCGUAUAUUCACUUUGGGAGGCAGGCACUUCUGAGCAGGAUGACACACUGUGGCCUUGUCAAGGGUCUAACCAUGGGAAGGAAACAAGUUGCCUC